UACAGAGGGUGCGAGCGUUAAUCGGAAUUACUGGGCGUAAAGGGUGCGUAGGCGGUUAAGAACGUGUGAUGUGAAAGCCCUGGGCUUAACCUAGGAAGUGCAUCGCAAACGGAUUGACUGGAGUAUAAGAGAGGGUGGCGGAAUUUCCGGUGUAGCGGUGAAAUGCGUAGAGAUCGGAAGGAACGUCGAUGGCGAAGGCAGCCACCUGGCUUAAUACUGACGCUGAGGCACGAAAGCGUGGGGAGCGAACAGG
rnacentral:rRNA from 1 species